rnacentral:misc_RNA from 1 species
GCCGGUAUUUAUUUGUCUUUUUCUCUGGUCUUUUACAUCACCCCGCGCCAUAUAACGCGCCUUGCAAUGGAAGCAGAUUCUCCAAACAACAAACAGAAGCGAAAAUGAUGAAAUCUCACUCACUCUCUGCUUUCUUUGGCUUCUUCUUAGACUAGAAAGUGAAAAAUUGAAAAUGCCGGAGCUUGGGCUUCAGGAUCAGAACUCGUCGAGAUCGGGUUUUAGAGCUCGCGAUGCUAGCCCU